AUUCUACUCCCUCCGUUGCACAAUACAUGCCUUCUAUUUGUCAAAAUAUAUAUGUAUCUAGACAUGUUUUAGUAUAUAGGUACAUCCAUUUUUGGACAAAUGGAAGUCAAAUAUUUUGGAACGGAUGGAGUACACA
rnacentral:pre_miRNA from 1 species